rnacentral:rRNA from 1 species
AGCGAACGCUGGCGCCAGGCAUAACACAUGCAAGUCGCACGGCUCCCUCGGGAUGAGUGGCGGCCGGGUGAGUAACACCUGGGAACGUGUCUUUUGGUUCGGAACAACUCAGGGAAACUUGCGCUCAUACCGGCUGUGCCUCGCGGGGGCAGGAUUUAUCGCCAUUGUAGCUGUCCGCGUCUGUGUAGCUAGUUGGUGGGGUAAAGUCUCACCAAGGCGACUAUCAGUAGCUGGUCUGAGAGUAUGAUCAGCCACAUUGGGACUGAGACACGGCCCAAACUCCUACGGGAGGCAGCAGUGGGGAAUCUGGCGCAAUGGGCGAAAGCCUGACGCAGCCAUGCCGCGUGAAUGAUGAAGGUCUUAGGAUUGUAAAAUUCUUUCUCCGGGGACGAUAAUGACGGUACCCGGAGAGGAAGCCCCGGCUAACUUCGUGCCAGCAGCCGCCGUAACAC